rnacentral:rRNA from 1 species
CAGUCGCCGCGGUAAUACGGAGGGUGCAAGCGUUAAUCGGAAUUACUGGGCGUAAAGCGCACGCAGGCGGUUCGUUAAGUCUGUUGUAAAAUCCCCGGGCUCAACCUGGGAAUGGCGAUGGAGACUGCAAGGCUAGAAUCUGGCAGAGGGGGGUAGAAUUCCACGUGUAGCAGUGAAAUGCGUAGAUAUGUGGAGGAACACCGAUGGCGAAGGCAGCCCCCUGGGCUAAGAUUGACGCUGAGGUGCGAAAGCGUGGGGAGCAAACAGGAUUAGAUACCCCUGUAGUCCCUGUCUCUUAUAC